UACUCCCUCCCUCUGUUCGAAAAUAUUUGUCAUCAAAAUAGAUAAAAAGAGAUGUAUCUAAAAUUAAAAUACGUCCAAAUACAUCCCCUUUUAUUUAUUUUGAUGACAAGUAUUUUCGGACGGAGGGAGUACUAG
rfam:Triticum urartu cultivar G1812 contig767615, whole genome shotgun sequence.